rnacentral:rRNA from 1 species
AUUGAACGCUGGCGGCAGGCCUAACACAUGCAAGUCGAGCGGAGCGGCGGACGGGUGAGUCAUGCCUAGGAAUCUGCCUGGUAGUGGGGGAUAACGUCCGGAAACGGGCGCUCAUACUACUUCCUUUCAGAUUAGCCUAGGUCGGAUUAGCUUGUUGGUGGGGUAAAGGCCUACCAAGGCGACGAUCCGUAACUGGUCUGAGAGGAGGAUCAGUCACACUGGAACUGAGACACGGUCCAGACUCCUACGGGAGGCAGCAGUGGGGAAUAUUGGACAAUGGGCGAAAGCCUGAUCCAGCCAUGCCGCGUGUGUGAAGAAGGUCUUCGGAUUGUAAAGCACGUUAAGUUGGGAGGCGUUACCAACAGAAUAAGCACCGGCUAACUUCGUGCCAGCCGCCGCGGUAAUAC